rnacentral:rRNA from 1 species
CGCGGCCUAUCAGCUUGUUGGUGAGGUAACGGCUCACCAAGGCAACGACGGGUAGCUGUUCUGAGAGGAAGAUCAGCAACACUGGAACUGAGACACGGUCCAGACACCUACGGGUGGCAGCAGUCGAGAAUCAUUCACAAUGGGGGCAACCCUGAUGGUGCAACGCCGCGUGGAGGAUGAAGGCCCUAGGGUCGUAAACUCCUGUCAUAUGAGAGUAAGGCAUAGAGGGAAUAAUACCCUUUUAUGUUUGAUAGUAUCAUAAGAGGAAGGGACGGCUAACUUCGUGCCAGCAGCCGCGGUAAUACGAAGGUCCCGAGCGUUAUUCGGAAUCACUGGGCGUAAAGAGUACGUAGGCGGUUUGGUAAGUCAGGUGUGAAAUCCCGGGGCUCAACCCCGGAACUGCACCCGAUACUGCCAGACUGGAGUAAUGGAGAGGCAGGUGGAAUUCUCGGUGUAGCAGUGAAAUGCGUGGAUAUCGAGAGGAAGACCAAUGGCGAAGGCAGCCUGCUGGACAUUUACUGGCGCUGAGGUACGAAGGCCAGGGUAGCGAAAGGGAUUAGAUACCCCUGUAGUCCUGGCAGUAAACGGUGCGCGCUUGGUGUGGGAGGAUUCGACCCCUUCCGUGCCGGAGCUAACGCGUUAAGCGCCCCGCCUGGGGAGUACGG